AUUGAACGCUGGCGGCAGGCCUAACACAUGCAAGUCGAACGGUAACAGGAAGAAGCUUGCUUCUUUGCUGACGAGUGGCGGACGGGUGAGUAAUGUCUGGGAAACUGCCUGAUGGAGGGGGAUAACUACUGGAAACGGUAGCUAAUACCGCAUAACGUCGCAAGACCAAAAAGGGGGACCUUCGGGCCUCUUGCCAUCGGAUGUGCCCAGAUGGGAUUAGCUAGUAGGUGGGGUAACGGCUCACCUAGGCGACGAUCCCUAGCUGGUCUGAGAGGAUGACCAGCCACACUGGAACUGAGACACGGUCCAGACUCCUACGGGAGGCAGCAGUGGGGAAUAUUGGACAAUGGGCGAAAGCCUGAUGCAGCAAUGCCGCGUGUAUGAAGAAGGCCUUCGGGUUGUAAAGUACUUUCAGCGGGGAGGAAGGGAGUAAAGUUAAUACCGUCGCUGAAUGACGUUACCCGAAGAAGAAGCACCGGCUAACUACGUG
rnacentral:rRNA from 1 species